GUCUGGAUAGCUCAGUGGUCUAGAGCAGUUGCCCGGAAAGCGAAAGGCUGGGGUUCGAUUCCUGAUCCAAUUA
rnacentral:tRNA from 1 species